rnacentral:rRNA from 1 species
GAACGCUGGCGGCGUGCCUAACACAUGCAAGUCGAGCGAGUGAAUCUCCCUCGGGAGUGAAGCUAGCGGCGGACGGGUGAGUAACACGUGGGCAACCUGCCUCAUAGAGGGGAAUAGCCUUCCGAAAGGAAGAUUAAUACCGCAUAAGAUUGUAGCUUCGCAUGAAGUAGCAAUUAAAGGAGCAAUCCGCUAUGAGAUGGGCCCGCGGCGCAUUAGCUAGUUGGUGAGGUAACGGCUCACCAAGGCGACGAUGCGUAGCCGACCUGAGAGGGUGAUCGGCCACAUUGGGACUGAGACACGGCCCAGACUCCUACGGGAGGCAGCAGUGGGGAAUAUUGCACAAUGGGGGAAACCCUGAUGCAGCAACGCCGCGUGAGUGAUGACGGCCUUCGGGUUGUAAAGCUCUGUCUUCAGGGACGAUAAUGACGGUACCUGAGGAGGAAGCCACGGCUAACUACGUGCCAGCAGCCGCGGUAAUACGUAGGUGGCGAGCGUUGUCCGGAUUUACUGGGCGUAAAGGGAGCGUAGGCGGACUUUUAAGUGAGAUGUGUAAUACCCGGGCUCAACUUGGGUGCUGCAUUUCAAACUGGAAGUCUAGAGUGCAAGAGAGGAGAAUGGAAUUCCUAGUGUAGCGGUGAAAUGCGUAUAGAUUAGGAAGAACACCAGUGGCGAAGGGCGUUUCUCUGGACUGCUACUGACGCUGACGCUCGAAAGUGUGGGGAGCAAACAGGAUUAGAUACCCUGGUAGUUCACGCCAUAAACGAUGAAUACUAGGUGUAGGGGUUGUCAUGACCUCUGUGCUGCCGCUAACGCAUUAAGUAUUCCGCAUGGGGAGUACGGUCGCAAGAUUAAAACUCAAAGGAAUUGACGGGGGCCCGCACAAGCAGCGGAGCAUGUGGUUUAAUUCGAAGCAACGCGAAGAACCUUACCUAGACUUGACAUCUCCUGCAUUACCCUUAAUCGGGGAAGUUCCUUCGGGAACAGGAAGACAGGUGGUGCAUGGUUGUCGUCAGCUCGUGUCGUGAGAUGUUGGGUUAAGUCCCGCAACGAGCGCAACCCUUAUUGUUAGUUGCUACCAUUUAGUUGAGCACUCUAGCGAGACUGCCCGGGUUAACCGGGAGGAAGGUGGGGAUGACGUCAAAUCAUCAUGCCCCUUAUGUCUAGGGCUACACACGUGCUACAAUGGCAAGUACAAAGAGAAGCAAGACCGUGAGGUGGAGCAAAACUCAAAAACUUGUCUCAGUUCGGAUUGUAGGCUGAAACUCGCCUACAUGAAGCUGGAGUUGCUAGUAAUCGCGAAUCAGCAUGUCGCGGUGAAUACGUUCCCGGGCCUUGUACACACCGCCCGUCACACCAUGAGAGUUGGCAAUACCCAAAGUGCGUGAUCUGACUCGCAAGAGAGGAAGCGCCCUAAGGUAGGGUCAGCGAU